GCUUGUUCUCGAAGUCGGCCUCCUCCAGGGCGGGCGAGUGGAAGUCAUGGAAGCGGUAGUGCUCCUCCAGCGGCAGCAGCUUGCGCAGAUUACUUCCAAUUCUCAGACUCCGUCCACACAGAAGAAUGUCCCUCUUUACACUCCAUGACAGCCUAAUUCUCCCCAGAAUUUAGAUUCACUCAGGCGGUGCUCAGCAUUUUACAGAAUUCAGCUGAGGUUCCAGAACAGGUAGAGCACAAACACCGUCAACAUCAACUUCCUCACGUUUCCUUGUCCACAUAUUUCAGCCUUGGCCUGAAAGGUCACUUCUGCAAGCAAGAGCAUAGUACAGCUUCACCUGGCUACGCUCCUGAGGCUUUCAACAAGGGAAGCACAUUAAUCCAUUAAGGAAGAGCUUUGUUUUUUGUGUUUAUUCCCUUUACUGACAGACAGGCUUUAGAAUUUUUGGUGACAAACAGAGCGCUCUUCUUAGUGUUCUCUGGCUUUUCUUCCUUCUCUAAUCAAGUUCCUUGAUCACUCGGAACAGGACUCAGAUAUUUCAUUUUAUAUUUCCUAGUGCUGGGCAGCUGGCAGAAUGCUGGGAUCCCUCUUGACCAGGGACAUACACAUGCCAUCACCACUGCGUGAUUUUUGCAGAGGUGGCUAUUUCUUAUGUUGCUUUUUCCUCUCCACUGCUGUGCGCAAGGCCUGAAGAAUCAAGUCUUUGUUAUUCUGGACAUUGUAGUAACUUAGUUUCACCAGUUUGUCAAAGUUUUCCUCUGAAUAACUCAGAUUGUUUAUGUAAUAUGGACCACAGGUAUUGGCAACAUCAACAUCACCCUCUGCCAUCUCUGAGGGACUACGUUUCACACCUAAGGGACAAACAAUGAUUGGGAUAAUAAGCGAAACAUGAUGAGGGUCUGCACGUUUCUCAAACGUGCAGUUGAUCACAACCCCAAGAUUUCCCUCCACAGGCAUUUUAUUGCUGGUAUAUUUGAUUGGUAGCAGUGGGGUAGAGGAGCUGGUGGAGGUAUGGGGGAGUACAGGUUGUUCUGGGCAUCCUAGAAAAUGCCAAAACAAAUAAAAUAGUUCCCUUUCUGAACACAGGAGGGUGCAGCUGCGAUCCGUCUCUGUGCCUGCUCCUCCAGCCCCAGGCCGAGCUGGCAGCGCAGCCAGGCACCGGCCCUGGGUAUCCCUCCAGAGGCUGCUGCUCUCCCAGCCCUGGCUCCUGCCUUGCUGCCAUCUCCUAGCCAUCGCAGCACCUUGCACGUCUAGCUAAGGUGAUGAGUAAAGCGCAAUUACUCUUUCUUUCCUCUCCUUCUCCCAGAGCAGGCAACUGCAACACGGACAUCAUGACAGCAUAAUUUCUUUACCAGCAAAGGGCCUCUGAUGCCACUGCCACUUUCUGUGCCUGCCAACUUUGACUUUACAUCUUAUUUCCCUUUCUACUAUGCUUUCAUGUUCCAGAAACAGGCUGCUGAAAAUCUGCCCAUUUCAGGGAUUCAGACAAAGGAUAUUUCCAAAAGCAGACCUGCCUUUUCAGCCAGCUAUCCCCUAGCACAAUCUGCUACAUCAGCUCUUGGUUCCUACUGGGAGGAAUAAUCAAAAGGUAGACAAAAAAGACCACAAAAACUAAAUUCUAUUAUCUAAACCUAGAGACUUCACAGAGCUGUUAUCUGGACAUAUCCCGGAAGCAGAUGGCACAAACAUUAACCGUAAUUUCCGCAAGCUACCUAUUGCUAUAAAAAACUGCAAGCUUUAUGAAACCUCAGCAGUGAGAAUGAACCUAAUAUUGCCUGAAACACUGAGACAUGGCAGGGUACACUGAAAGACCUUUUCAUGCACAUGUCAUCAUCCCCAGAUAAUCAACAUAUAUAUGACAGCCCCAGGCAAAACAAUUAGGCAGAUAGUCCUAGAAGUGAUAUCUCUUAAAAUACUAGAUACAUCAUGUCUUAUAACCUGAAGACAAAUUCAGUUAACUUAUUUAUUUUAAUUCAUUUGACUAUAGAAACCAGAUCCAAAACUAAUGCAAAACUUAAUGUUUAUUUUCAGGCUAUCACGGAGAAAACAUUCAUAGGGACCUCCUCAAUAACUUGUUGGUACUGGGAGACAAAUACCUAAGACUUAUCCUGUGAUCACAAAUGCCAACAAAUUUAUGGAUGCAGGAGAUGUAAAACACAUCUCUUCACUUGUUUUUCUAAGACCUUCCACAAGUCACCUAUGACUCAGUGCAGCAGCUGAUCUCAGCUUGGACCUGACCAUCUGCUCUAGAGACUGGCAGGAAGGGUGCUCUUUAUUUAGCUGCUUUCUUGGACACACCAUCACCUACUGAGCUGGUGAAAGUAUGUCUAUACACUAAAUUCAGUACAUGCAACAUAUACCACCUGAGCUGAGGGUGCUGUACGCUGUACCCAGUAUGCGAACUUGCCCUUCCUGAACUCUGAGCAAACAUGAGCUCUCUCUGCCCACAAUCAAAGAAUGUCAAAAGCCCGCUUGACCGUAUUAGCUUUGGCUCAACUCUGCACUAAUGCAACACCGCACAUGGGCAGACUGAACUUACAUCUGCCUUUUAGUACAGAUGCAGAAUAAAGAGGUUUGUGGAGAUUUUCCACCUUCCAGGGACAAGGCUCAAUGAAUUUGGUUUAGUUGUGCAGAUUCCUGGGCUCCAAUCCAACCCUAGGCCAGAGAUCCACUGCUGUAGGUUAGCCUGCACCCUGACAUGAGGGUUGUCACAUUUUUUUCCUUCCCUGUCUUUCCCAUAGACCCUUAGGUUUUCUAACAGCUGGCAUGAGGAAAAGAGAGUAGUGCCAACCAGAGAAAUGAACAUAAAUGGCAGAUAAAACUAUCAGCAAUAGUUACCAAAGGUUAACACAGACAGGAAAUAUAAUGCUUGAUUCCCUCUUAUCACAGAUGUGAGAGCACCAAAGAUGAGAGAAUUUUUCUAUCAGCUUCCAAUGAGACCAUUAAAUUGGCACCAGGUUGUUACCACAGAUAAUAACCCACCUCUUCAGUCACAAAUAUCUGCAAUAUCUAUAUUAAAACAGGGCGGCAGAUCUUGUAGAAACUCAUCAUUGUCUUUCACUGAAAGGAUCUCAGGCAUUCAGAGAAGCUUCUCAAACAUGGAUCUUUUCUGUGCUUGUCUUGCUACAAAAAAAUCCUUUUAUGUUUCCAGAAAUCAGUUUAUUCACUCAAAGUGAUUAUCCUGGAAGGGUCUCUGUAAGACCAGUAAAUGUACUCUGCCUGGCUUUGCAGAGAGUCAUGAGCAACUGGUACUACUCUUGAAUGAAGCAGACUAAGCCUCAUACAGAGGAAUUCCCCUUUCUAUUCCAAACAUGAGAUGCUCUAACCAAUGCAGAAGUAACCCAGUUUAAAUAUGUCAGUUUUACUUAUAUACUGUCCAGGCUCAAAACUCUUACUGCUGAACAAGCUCAUGGAUGAGCUGGCUCCAGAAAAACUGCCUGUUCGUGUAAUUGAGCUAAUACUUCAGAUGCUGUACAGUCUAGCUUGGGCCAGGAUACAGUACUGAAAUGCUGUGAGUUCUGCUCAUCGCUGAUCUCUGUCUGUAACUGGCCCAACAGACCUCUGUUCCCAGCCUCGGAGCUUUCUGUGGCAUCCAUCCUGCCAGCCCGGGCGAGCGGCGGCCCCUCCAGAGAGGCGGCAGCCUCCUAGCCCCCUCUGUGAGCUGUGCCCUUGCAUGCAAGUUCAGCAGAAGCUCCUGCUCCUGAGGUCCCCACCAGGACCUAUUCUCUCUCUGAUUCUUUAUAUCAACCUGCAGCUACUAGCUGAACCAGUCAGACAGCACAGACUUGUCUGAAUGCGCUUAAUAUGCAGAUAUCACAUAGGCCUUCACAUAUACCUGCUACACACAUAAUAAAACCCCAUUUUAGAUUCCCUGAUAAUUUAGGUUGACAAGGUUGACAUGCGCAGCAUCUAACAUGUACCUUAUAUUAGAUAGCUAAGCUAGGAACAACCAUCCCUGGGUUCUGCAAAUCACUGAGAGGGAAAGAGACAGGUAAAAGAAAGCAAUAUACAGGAGCUAAUUUUCCAUUCCUGUUCUAGUUCUUUCUGCUGUUCUCCUUUCUCUGAUUCUUUCCAGAAAGGGCAACUAGAGAAACUAACCUUUUAGGUAUCUGAUCUAUGUUAAGUGCUUGAGUUUAAAGGUGUGUGUACCUGUGUAAAUACCCCUGGCAUACUCGAAACCUGUUAAAAAUCCCAGUUCCAUAUCUCAAAUAAGCAAGGAACUCAAUCCAGAAUAUCUACAAAGUCAAAAUACUGUAUGAUUGUUAAUGAUUUAAAAAAAUAAGAAUACAAUACAAUAAGGACC